rnacentral:lncRNA from 1 species
UGCGCCACCGUCAACAGCUGCGGCUUUGUUGUUCGCAAUGAGUGACCGGCUGAACGUCCAGUUCAGCUCCAGCUGAGCGGGCCCCGCGCCGCCAGCGGGAGCCGCGGCGGAGGCGGUCGAGGUCGCGGCGGCGGAGGCCGUGGAGGACGGGGCAGAGCCCGUGUUGGCAGGGGCGCCGGCAGCUGUUGUGGAGCUGGAGGAGGGGCGGUAGGCGAUGAAGCCGCCGGUGUCUGCGGAGUUGUCA